UGCCAGCCGCCGCGGUAAUACCGGCAGCCCAAGUGGUGGCCGCUGUUAUUGGGCCUAAAGCGUCCGUAGCUGGCCGCACAAGUCCGUCGGGAAAUCCGCCCGCUCAACGGGCGGCCGUCCGGCGGAACCUGUGUGGCUUGGGACCGGGAGGCCUGAGGGGUACGAUCGGGGUAGGAGUGAAAUCCUAUAAUCCUGGACGGACCACCAAUGGGGAAACCACCUCAGGAGGAUGGACCCGACAGUGAGGGACGAAAGCCAGGGUCUCCAACCGGAUUAGAAACCCGUGUAGUCC
rnacentral:rRNA from 1 species